rfam:Asian citrus Psyllid, Diaphorina citri - Florida Strain, whole genome shotgun sequence.
GCCUAGGUAGCUUGGAAGGUAGCGCGUCUGCCUUGUAAGCGCUAGGCCGCGGGUUCGAUUCCCGCCCGGGGCG